rnacentral:rRNA from 1 species
UGGGGUGAAACUGUCUCCUUUAUAUUAUAUUGAACUUACUCAAUAGGUGAAAAUGCCUAUAAAUAGAAAAAAGACGAGAAGACCCUAGGAGUUUUUACUAAAUGUUAAAUUUCAUAUUAACUGUUGUUUUUGUUGGGGCGACAAGGGAGCAUUAAGAAUAAACCUCCUCUUUUAAUUUGCCGACAUAGUAUGAGAAAAUAAACUACCCUAGGGAUAACAGCGUAAUUCUUAAGAGCUUGCGACCUCGAUGUUGGACUAGGAAUUUGGUAGGCUAGCCGCCUAUUUAUAUUGUUCUGUUCGAACUGUUUUUCCUACGUGAUCUGA